CUCUUUGUGAAUAGCAAAAGUUCCGUAGUGAAGGAAAGCCGAGACGCCAUUGAAUUUUUCCGUUCAGUUUUUUCGUCUUUUUUGAGCUGGCAAAAUGAGUUGUUCUGCAGUAAACUGUUCUAACCGACCUGUGGGAGCUAAGGGAUCUUUGCAGUUUUUUCGGUGACCAUGAAGCAGCCAGACUGAAGCAGCAGGUUGUGAAGGUGGACGCCAUCAUCUUGUCUUUGCAGCGCUGAUUCUGAAGAGAACGCCUUCACAUAGGACUCAAAGGAAAUCAAUGCUCAAAGGAAACAGCAGUCCAGACUCUGAUUCCAGCUCCGAAGAUGCCCUCAGAUUCAGAUCCAUCAACAACACCUGACAACAUGGAGGACUCGUCCCCUGAGCGUUUCCUGUCCUCUCUCGAUGGAGUUUUUCUCUUUAGUCAUUAACUCUUGAAAACAGCAGCACAAAAUGCCAG